rnacentral:rRNA from 1 species
UGGGGAAUCUUCCGCAAUGGACGAAAGUCUGACGGAGCAACGCCGCGUGAGUGAUGACGGCCUUCGGGUUGUAAAGCUCUGUUAAUCGGGACGAAUGGUUCUUGUGCGAAUAGUGCAAGGAUUUGACGGUACCGGAAUAGAAAGCCACGGCUAACUACGUGCCAGCAGCCGCGGUAAUACGUAGGUGGCAAGCGUUGUCCGGAAUUAUUGGGCGUAAAGCGCGCGCAGGCUGAUUGGUCAGUCUGUCUUAAAAGUUCGGGGCGUAACCCCGUGAUGGGAUGGAAACUGCCAAUCUCGAGUAUCGGAGAGGAAAGUGGAAUUCCUAGUGUAGCGGUGAAAUGCGUAGAUAUUAGGAAGAACACCAGUGGCGAAGGCGACUUUCUGGACGAAAACUGACGCUGAGGCGCGAAAGCCAGGGGAGCGAACGGG